rnacentral:tRNA from 1 species
CCAGAGAAUAGUUUUAUUAAAAUAUUAAUUUUGGAUAUUAAAGUUAAAAGCUCUCUUUUUUCUCUG